UCCGGACUUCCUACGAACUCUCGAACUCCCAACGAAAUCAUGUCCUUGACUCUGGGACUUCAUUUUGCUUCAUGCCUUGCUAUCGUUGUUAAUCCUACACAUGUAAAACACACUUUGAUCUAGACAAUUAAUACUUAGCAUUAAUCAUGUUGUCCGACAUGUCAUUGGUCCCUCGAUGCUUCGUCCGAUUCUUCGACGCAUCGUCCUCU
rnacentral:lncRNA from 1 species